ensembl:lncRNA
AAGGGAAGGCGGGGAGAGGCCGGGCCGGGGCCGCACGCCCCGGUCGGUGGCCUGGGCGGGCCCGGGGCGUCCUUGUUAGCGCCGGCUCCAGGCCGCCCGCCGCGUCCCUCCUCCCGCGGGCCCGGCCCGGAGCUGAUCGCCCCAGACAGGCUGCGCGGCGCGGCCGAUCCCGGGGGCCGCUGGCGAGGUCCAGAUGCUCCUGUUACUACCGGGGUCAUCGCUGAAGACGCAGAGUCCUGCCCCUGGGGAGGCACCGUGGGUCCCAAAGACUUGCCCUUUGAAGAUCUUUCAAAAUGAGGAUGAGCGCUUCAUAACGUUUUUUAAAAAUAAUGUGUGACAAAAGCUGAACUACAUAAAAGAAGAGCAGAAUUAGUAAACUGCACUGCUCAUUGGAAAAGAAAAAGUCUCACUAAGGAAUAAAGAAGAGACCAUAACCACAGACACUGUGAGGAUCCGAGAGCAGCAUUCAGCCCCAUCUCCUACAUUGGAAGAAUGGAAAAAGCCAAACAUCCAUCACCUUUUUACUUUGACAAAUACAGUACUGUGUCCCAGCGACCCCAGAGGCUGAUAAUCACAGUGUCCUCCAUGCUGAAAGGGGAACUGAGGAAGGCCAAAAGCUCAUCCACCUUCUACUUAACAUCACGCAGAGGUGGUGGGUACUGUUGCCCAAGGCCCCGAGGAGAGACAGCAGAACUGCCUCAGAAGCAGGGGCAGAUUGUCGGGCUCCCAGCUCCCAGGAACCUCAGCUUGCGCUGCUCCUGCAGAAGCCUAGGCUGCGCCUGUCGACUGCCCACAACCUUCGUGUGCCCUCGCUGCAGUUCCCAAGAGGCCUGUGGCCACAGACAAGAGUCUGCCUAUGUAGCCCAGGCUGGCCUCAAACUGAAGCAAUCCUCCUGCCUCAGCCUCCCAAGUGCUGGAUGACAGCUUCAGAAGCUGCAAUUACAGGCCUGCACCAAGCCUGGAUGCGACUCUAAUCCCAGGAAGAAAGAAAGCCUAAAGCUGGAGAGCCAGGGAAAGGCGACAGGACAAUGUUCUCCCAGGACAUAAAAACUUCCAGCAAGUUUAUCACCACAAAUGAAGAAGUGAAAUUUAUUCUCUGUAAUGAAGAGUGAAAUGCAGGAAUAAAGAAAUGAGGGAAAGCGGCAGACUCACAGAUCCUAGUGAAAGGCCUGAAAACACAACUACCAAUCCACAGAGUGGGACAGUCUAAC